rnacentral:rRNA from 1 species
UACAGAGGGGGCAAGCGUUGUUCGGAAUUACUGGGCGUAAAGGGCGCGUAGGCGGCCUUCUAAGUCGCACGUGAAAUCCCCGGGCUCAACCCGGGAACUGCGUCCGAUACUGGAAGGCUUGAAUCCGGGAGAGGGAUGCGGAAUUCCAGGUGUAGCGGUGAAAUGCGUAGAUAUCUGGAGGAACACCGGUGGCGAAGGCGGCAUCCUGGACCGGUAUUGACGCUGAGGCGCGAAAGCCAGGGGAGCAAACGGG